rnacentral:rRNA from 1 species
UUCUGGUUGAUCCCGCCGGACCCUACUGCUAUCGGGNGUGGGACUAAGACAUGCGAGUCGAGCGUCUCUAGUUAUGGUGAGACGCGGCAGACGGCUCAGUAACACGUGGCUAACCUACCCUCAGGACGGGGACAAACCCGGGAAACUGGGGCUAAUACCCGAUAGGCGAGGGCGCCUGGAAUGGUUCUUCACCCAAAGGGCUUUGGAAGCAUGCUUUUCAAAGUCGCCUGAGGAUGGGGCCGCGUCCGAUCAGGUUGUUGGUGAGGUAACGGCUCACCAAGCCUAUAACCGGUACGGGCCGUGAGAGCGGUAGCCCGGAGAUGGGCACUGAGACAAGGGCCCAGGCCCUACGGGGCGCAGCAGUCGCGAAAACUCCGCAAUGCACGAAAGUGUGACGGGG